rnacentral:lncRNA from 1 species
GGUUCCACGUCCAUCUGUUCGACAAGAGGACGCCACCUGCAACAGCAGGUAGAGUUACAACCAUUGUGUUUGCUCUGUGAAAUUCAAUCCGCUCCGCUGCAGACAGAUAUGUUGGAAGCGAUUCCCGCUCCUACACAAUGCUACUUACCUGCCGGGCCAUUGAGGCGCUCCAGGCAGCACAAGUGCAAGUGCCCAGCUCGCUCAUGGGGCCACUCGUAGGAGGCUGUGUGCAUCUGCCCAACAAGAAGACGGUACGUGGCCAAGACUUCUUCAUCAAGAAUCUUCUUUUGGAUGCGGCUGCAGAGAGUGUUCACCUAUACGAACGGGAACAGUGCCAGCUACGGUAUAAGCCGGAACGGACUUGUGUGGUACCUCCAGCGCGUGCUUCUCCAAAGGUACAGGCGAACUCGAUAGACCGACUGCAUGCAUGUUAUGCCUGUCUGUCCCAAGAUAUGCGAGCCAUGUCUCGACC